rnacentral:rRNA from 1 species
AAUGAACGCUGGCGGCAGGCUUAACACAUGCAAGUCGAACGAGUGGCGGACGGGUGAGAAAUGCUUGGGAAUCUAGCUUAUGGAGGGGGAUAACUACGGGAAACUGUAGAUAAUACCGCGUAACAUAGGAUGAGCCCAAGUGGGAGUAGGUAGUUGGUGAGGUAAAGGCUCACCAAGACGAAGAUCUCUAGCUGGUCUGAGAGGAUGACCCGCCACUCUGGGACGGUGACACGGCCCAGACUCCUACGGGAGGCAGCAGUGGAGAAUAUUGCGCAAUGGGGGCAACCUGACGCAGCCCUGCAGCGUGACUGAAUAAGUCCUUCGGGUUGUAAAGUUCUUUCGGUAGCGAGGCGUUAACUACAGAAGAAGCACCGGCUAACUCCGUGCCAGCAGCCGCGGUAAUUC